UACGGAGGGUGCAAGCGUUAUCCGGAUUCACUGGGUUUAAAGGGUGCGUAGGCGGGCAGGUAAGUCCGUGGUGAAAUCCUAUAGCUUAACUAUAGAACUGCCAUGGAUACUAUUUGUCUUGAAUAUCGUAGAGGUAAGCGGAAUAUGUCAUGUAGCGGUGAAAUGCUUAGAUAUGACAUAGAACACCAAUUGCGAAGGCAGCUUACUAUGCGAUCAUUGACGCUGAGGCACGAAAGCGUGGGUAGCAAACAGG
rnacentral:rRNA from 1 species